rfam:Nematostella vectensis strain CH2 x CH6 NEMVEscaffold_486_Cont28486, whole genome shotgun sequence.
GUUGCGGUGGCCGAGCGUUUACGGCGUUGGACUAGAAAUCCAAUGGGAUCUUCCCGCGCAGGUUCGAGUCCUGCCGGCAACG